rnacentral:rRNA from 1 species
UACAGAGGGUGCAAGCGUUAAUCGGAAUUACUGGGCGUAAAGCGUGCGUAGACGGUUAUUUAAGUCAGGUGUGAAAGCCCCGGGCUCAACCUGGGAAUUGCAUUUGAGACUGAAUAGCUAGGGUGCGGAAGAGGGAAGCGGAAUUACCGGUGUAGCGGUGAAAUGCGUAGAUAUCGGAAGGAACACCAGUGGCGAAAGCGGCUUCCUGGUCCAGCACCGACGUUCAGGCACGAAAGCGUGGGGAGCAAACAGG